rnacentral:lncRNA from 1 species
CAAUUUGCAUAAAAAGUCCACUAAUUUUGCACUUUUACAAAAAAGACAUUUUUAUUUAUUAUUAUUUUUACAAAUUUAGUCUGAAUUUUUAAUAUACUCCUACUCAUCAAAUUAUUUAGAAAAAAACUUCAAAUACCGCUCCCGUGAUUUCGCACUUUCUCACUUUAGUACUAUAUAGUUUAAAGUAUAUCACUUUCUUACCCUAUGAUUUUAUUUUUCUCUUUUUGAUAACCCCUCCAGUAAUAUUUAUGUUAAAUUAGUGACAAAGUUAAAACUGAAGAGUUAAAGUAAAUAUUCGAUAAACUAUGGGCGGGUAUCUGAAGUUUUUUAUAUAUAAUUUAAUAAAAAAUUAACGGAUGGACUGACGAAAAGAAAAAACUAAAACCACAGGACGCUGAAUUGAUACGCUUUAAACCACGGGAUUUUAAGUGAGGAAGUGCAAAAUCACAAGGGUGGUAUUGAGGGGCAGACGAAUGGAGAAAAAUAAAACCACAUGGCAUUACAUUGAUACAUUUUACACCAUAGGACAUGAACUUGAGCCCCCAUCUGUUUUUAAACGCAUCCUUGAUCUAAAAUAUUAUGUUCAGUUGCAAACCACCUACUCUAUGUAGUGCUUUUUUCUCAACUUGAUCGUAGGCUGUAUCUGAAAAAUUCUUUCGAUAUAAUUGCGUGGAAUUUCCUAAGAAGCGAGCUAUAGGUUCAUAUUUGUAAAUGCAGGAAUCGGAGGUCGAAUUCUUAACCUCUAUGAUCGAAAGUCGAGCUAGUUAUAACUAGUCGAUGGCUAAUUGAUAAUAUAUGAAUAGUAUUUACUAUUAAUUUUUGGGAAAACUUCAAAAACCCUCCCUGUGGUUUCGUGCAUUCUCACUUUGCUACCCUGUGGUUUGAAACGUAUCAAUUUACCCCCCUGUGGUUUCAUUUUUAUCUUUUCGGAAGCUUUUUCGUUAAUAUUUCGUUAAAUUAUAUACAAAAAACUUCAGAUAACCAUCUAUAUUUAUCGAAUAGUCACUUUAGUAUCCUUUAAUUUUAACUUUGUCACUGAUUUAAAAAAAAAAAAUAAUAAAAUUGAUAACAAAAAGAUAAAAACGAAACCACAGGAGGCAAAUUGAUACGUUUUAAACCACAGGGUAGCAAAGUGAGAAUGCACGAAACCACAGGGGGGGUUUUGAAGUUUUCCCUUAAUUUUUUCGUCCUUAAAUUAUUAUUAUUUCACUAAUCUCUACUUAAUCCUAGACAUUUAAUAGUCAAAAAAAUUAUAAUAUAUACUAUUUCUAUAUUAUCAAUAAUAUUUUAGCUCC